CCUACGGGAGGCUGCAGUGGGGAAUCUUGCACAAUGGGGGAAACCCUGAUGCAGCACAGCCGCGUGAGUGAAGCAGUAUUUCGGUAUGUAAAGCUCUAUCAGCAGGGAAGCAAAUGACAGUAACUGACUAAGAAGCACCGGCUAACUACGUGCCAGCCGCCGCGGUAAUCCGUAGGUGGCAAGCGUUAUCCGGAGUUACUGGGUGUAACGGGAGCGUAGACGGCUGCGCAAGUCAGAAGUGACAGCCCGGGGCUCAACCGCGGGACGGCGUUUGAAACUGGGUAGCGAGAGGGCAGGAGAGGGAAGUGGAAGUCCAAGUGGAGCGGGGAAAUGCGUAGAUAUUAGGGGGAACACCGGUGGGGAA
rnacentral:rRNA from 1 species